GCUCCUGGUUGUUCCCGGACUAGUGCUGCACCACGCGACCAAGUGCUGAAGGAAACGAAAGUUAACAUAUACAAGAACCUAUAAAAGUAGGAAUCUACCAAGUUUGGUUGCAUUUUAGCAUAUACAAGAACCUAUAUAUUUAAGCUUAAAGUUAGGGAUCUGCCCUAUUUGGUUGCACACUAGCAUAGACAAAAACCUAUUGAGUGCUACAAUAACCUAUUUAAUUGUACGGUUCUACGAAAAAAAACAAUAAAAAAAGUCGAGCUUUCCCUGUCUACAAGCAAAGAUUAGCCGAAGAAAUUAUUGAAAAAUACUUAGCAAACGUAAGAGUAAGAGAAGCAUCAUCUAUCAAUGAUACAUUAACGCGAUAUUCUGGCCUGUAUUUUCCUAUACGGUUACCUCCAAACUAAAAACUAUAACUAUAUGCUUAUCUAUGUUAGUUCGAAAAGAAACAGUUUUUAAAUGCGAUGUUUGCGAUGUAGUAUUAUGUAUGGAUCGUUUUAAAAAAUACCAUGUUAAAUAAACUCUAAGAACUAUUCGGAAGUCAUUUACUUUAGAAGUUAACAAAAAUAAUAAAACUCCCGAUAUACGACAGCACGCGGUGAUACGGGCCAACCGUCAGUUGAACGACGCUGAUGUCUGAACAGAGUAACUUAAGUAGAAUCAUGAUUCAAAUGAGUUACAAAACCGAUAAAAAUAAAAAAGCCAAUUGACUAUAAGCAAGAUGUAAGGACAUGAAAACGUAACGACAUAUAUAUGUAACAACGAAAUUAAUCACGCUUUUUAUCCAUCUUUCAUUCAUUACUGACUCAAAAUUAUUAAUUUUAUGAAUUUUGAUUUUUUAAAAUUCGAAGAAUUAUAUUAAAAUGAACAUUUCAUAUUAUAUUAAAAACAAAUGAUAUUUCUCAUUUGGUAUCCAGUGAAAGAAUGACGAAAAAAUAGGUGGAAGACUGUGAAAGAUGAAACGAAAAUACGGAAUUUUUCAACGAAAAUUUAAAAAAUAGCCAAUCAGAACUUCCUACCAAAAAAAUUAUUUUUAGAAUUAUAGUAAAUCAUGUCAAUAUUGGUUACGAAAAUUUCAUUUCAGAAGAAAAUCGAAAAUUUUUACGAAAAUUUAACAUAUCUGAAUUUUUUACGGGAAAGAUACGGGAGCUUAGGAGAACGAUGGCACAUAUAAAACUAGGGUUAGAAAUAGUGCAAAAUAUCAGAAUAUAACAAUUUAUUAACAUAGAACAAAGAGAAUAAACAAUACAUUUACAAAUAUUACAUAUACUUAAUAUGUAUGUGUAUCUCUAUACCAAUAAACCAUCCUAUAAAGGGAAACCAUCCUAUAAAGGGAAACCAUCCAAAACGUUUGAGUGAGACACUUGUAUUAUUCAAAUGUGCGAAUUUUCCUCAACUUUAACGGAAAGCUUUCCUUCGAAUGCUCCUAGAAUCAUUGUACGAAUUGAUUCUUCAGAAACGACUGUUCUCUGGGCUGACUUCAUAGUGAUCGUUUUGCCUUACCUUACGAAUAUGAGAGUUUCCGCGGUCAGCAAGAAUCGGAAUUAGUACGUACUGAGGAAAAAGAAUAUGUGGUUACAUCCCGACGAUGAAAAAAUAUUCAUGCCAGUACAAUUAACAUGCCAAGUGCCAAGAAUUAAUAUUAAAUCUAAAACAUUAUCGUGUAUAAAAAAUAUAUUAAGAUUAUUGCCUCAUUCCACUGAUCCAUUAUCGUUUGAAAAGGAAUGUUCUCUUUUCUUCUCUAAAAAAAAUGUAAUAAACAAUUAAUUUCUCUUUCUUAGGCAACUUACAAUUACUUUCAUUAUUGCGCGAUUUUGCCAUUCUCAUACUUGUCUACCUUGGAUAGGAAAGUAGAUAUAAACUUUUCCGUACGACCGUACAAUUAAAUAGGUUCUUGUAGAAUGGAACUCAAUAGGUUUCUGUCUAUGCUAGUGUGCAAACAAACAGAGCAGAUUUAUAACUUUAAACUUAAAUGCAUAGGUUCUUAUAUAUGUUAAAUAGCAACCGAACGGAGUAGAUCCCUACUUUGAUAGGUUCUUAUAUAUGCUAACGUUCAUUCUCUUUUAAACGUGAUAAAAAUAUGAACACAAAAACGUUACCCACACAAUAUUUUUUUUAUUUAUUUACAUCACUUUCUAUUGCGAAUUACAAAUUUUAGCUUUUUUGUCAACUUGAUCUGCAUGCUACAUUAACAAAUUACAUAUUUUAAAUCUACUGUAUACAAUUCCUUGCAGUCAAGUAAAUUUGUUGCAAUUAUACUCUUAAUUUCUAUAUUCAAUUUUUAUCAUGUUAAACAGCUUUUUAGAUAAUCUUACAAUACAAGCAAUAAAAAAUAAAAUUCUGCGCUCUUAAAA